rnacentral:rRNA from 1 species
AGGCAGCAGUGGGGAAUAUUGGGCAAUGGGCGAAAGCCUGACCCAGCAACGCCGCGUGAAGGAAGAAGGUCUUCGGAUUGUAAACUUCUUUUAUGAGGGACGAAGGACGUGACGGUACCUCAUGAAUAAGCCACGGCUAACUACGUGCCAGCAGCCGCGGUAAU